rnacentral:lncRNA from 1 species
UUGUUUUGCCUGAACUUAAUGCCAAAUUGCAGCCACCCAUGGAGAAAUAUCAAUUGAAGUUGGAAGUGCUCAAAAAUGCAAACAUAAGGGCUAGAGGCACACCUCAUUUGAAAGAGGAGAAGCUAAUCAUGUUACUUCAUGAGUACAUGGAAAAAGUAGGAUGGGCUAUGACCAAAUCAAAAAGUGUGCUACACUUUUUGCUCAAUACAGUUGGGACUCUCUUCCCUUCUCCAAUUACUUGAGCCUUGAUCAAGUGGAUCGCACUAUGCACACCACACCCAGGGGAGUACUCAGUUUCUUUUGCAUUUUAAUAUUUCCUAUACAUUGAGGACAAUGCAUGAUUUAGGUGUGGGGGUGCAUAUUUCUGAAUUUUUACUUUUUGAGUUUAUUUUUGCUUUGAUUUUUAGUUUGCUUGCAUUAGUUGAAAUUUUUUCAUUUUUGCUUUCAAUAACACACACAAAUAGCCACAGUUUUUUUUAUUUACUUUGUUUCUGUUUUUUUUAGAUGCUUUACUCAUCAUAUAGACUAUGUUGGAUGAGCUUUUCUUUCCAUGACCCCAUUGAUGUUAUGACUCUUUAAACUUAUGUUGAAUCAAUUGCAGUGAGUUAUAUUCAUGUUUGAGAAUUGCCUUUUGAAUUGAAUCUUUGAGCUUUACAUGGUGAAAAAUAUAUUGAUGACCCUCAAUUGAGAAUAAAUUAAAAAAUUGUGUGAAUGAAC